rnacentral:rRNA from 1 species
UACGGGGGGGGCAAGCGUUGUUCGGAAUUACUGGGCGUAAAGGGCUCGUAGGCGGCCAACUAAGUCGGACGUGAAAUCCCUCGGCUUAACCGGGGAACUGCGUCCGAUACUGGAUGGCUUGAGUUUGGGAGAGGGAUGCGGAAUUCCAGGUGUAGCGGUGGAAUGCGUAGAUAUCUGGAGGAACACCGGUGGCGAAGGCGGCAUCCUGGACCAACACUGACGCUGAUGAGCGAAAGCCAGGGGAGCAAACGGG